GAACUACAUAAACACACCAAAAAAAACCCAGUACGAUACCUACGUAUAGACACAGCGAAUCAAGAGUCAUCGUCAUGUCGCAGAACUUUGGCGACUGGUUCAAUCAGCUGGGCCUUGUCACCCGUGCUUCUCUCGUCGCGUCUGUGGGCCUGUCCGCCGCCUGCUCCCUCAACGUGGUGGGUGUCGGCUCGGUUAUCCUCACCUCCGAAGCCAUCACCUCGCUGCAGGUGUGGCGCUUCGUAACAGCUGCCUUCUACCUCGGCAAUUUCUCUUUCCCGUGGCUCAUGACGGUUGCCAUGUUUGUCACGUACGUCAAGAACAACGAGGAGAGCGACUUCAAAGGCAAGACGGCAGACAUGACGUACAUGUUUCUGCUGCUGGUGGGCGCCCUCUCCUCUGCCGGCCUAUUUUUUAACGUGUACGUGACGAGUUUCUCGUUCCUAAUGGCGCUGUGCUGGAUUUUUUGCAAGCGACACCCCGAGCAGGAGCUGACGCUCUUUGGAUUCUCCUUCCGCUCGGCUGUGUUUCCGUGGGUGUUGAUGGCACUGCACCUCGUCAUGGGGCAGGGGCUGCUUGCUGAUAUUCUUGGCAUAGUGGCCGGACACGCCUACGUAUUCUUCAAGGAUGUUUUUCCAGUCUCACACAAUCAGCGGUGGCUGGAGACUCCGAUGUGGCUGCGGCGCCAGUUCACGCAGCCGACGCACCGCGUCGCCUCCUUUGGCCCUGAGAUGCACCCGUACGACCCUCGCUUUCAGGCGGCAUGGCGGGGCGAAGCUCGGCAGAGGAGCAGCGGCUUGCACAACUGGGGACGCGGCCAGACGCUCGGUAGCAGCUGAAGUACCGGCGCUAGUUUCCUGAAGUCACCCAUGCAGCGGCUGCGAUUCCCCGCUCCGAAGCUGAAGAGCGCUUGCAGCCCUUUGCUACUUCUGUCUCUGCUUUGUUGCACGGGGACAGGGGCCCAACCCCGUGGACACACCGUAUGAACGGGUCGGAGUGUGUGUGCUUCCCCGAUUCCCCGUCCUCGAUCUCUUCUUCUCUGUUUGUUCGUCUGUUUCUGUGGGUGUGUGGGCUCCUCUCUCGCGGGCGUGCGUGCUGACGACGUGCGCGUUUGGGCGUUGCCGCGUACGAUGCGUGUGUCUUUGAUUGGUUGUCAUGGCCGGCGUUUUUCGCUCUCGCUCUUGUCCGCUGAACCUCGAUCGGAGAGAAAG
rnacentral:misc_RNA from 1 species